rnacentral:rRNA from 1 species
AAGCGGCCAAAGCUCAAUUUGAAAACGCUUCGGCGUGUUGUAAGUAAAGUGGUUAGACGCUUUUUAAUAAGUCCCUUGGAACAGGGCGCCAUAGAGGGUGAUAGCCCCGUAUUAAAUUGUCUAGUGUGCUACUUUAGAGCGAGUCGAGUUGUUUGGGAAUGCAGCUCAAAUAGGUGGUAAACUCCAUCUAAAGCUAAAUAUUGCUGGGAGACCGAUAGCGAACAAGUACAGUGAUGGAAAGAUGAAAAGCACUUUGAAAAGAGAGUGAAAUAGCGUGUGAAAUUGUUGGAGGGGAAGGCGAUGGUAGGAAUAAGAGGCUGCGGUUUGAAAUAAUUGUUUUUCGGGCCACGGUCUCCUGAGCCUGCUUUCGCACCCGUCUUGAAACACGGACCAAGGAGUCUAACGGUAUUGCGAGUGUAUGGGUGUUAAACCCCAACGCGAAA